AGUAAUACCUGUAGCGGACGCUGGACGACGACAACGAUGGCCACGCGCAUGGAGCACCCGCUUCUCAGUUCCACCGGCGCGGCCAUGGAGAUAGGCCACCGUCAUCCCCUCUCCGUGGCAUACCAUCAUCGCCGGUCGGGGCUCAUGUAGAGGAAGACCAUCGUCCUCUACAUUUGGUGACCCGGACGAAGAACAUCACGUCCGGAGCAAUUCGGCCCUUCACCAUCCCAAAUUUGUGACGACACCAUCGAGCAGCACUACCUCCGGCACACACGGCCCGCCUUCACUCCUACCGCAUCUCGGUACUCUUGACUCCUCUUCUCACGCUUCUCACUGCCGGCCGCGACACUCGAGCCUUGCGCUCACCUGCCGGUUGCGGCAGUCGCGGCAGCCGACGCCUUGGCACGCUUCAGCCCGUCUCACUCACCCCACUCCACCUGGGACUCUCGAGCUUCGGCUCCUGUGCCGGUCAUCAUCGCCGGUCGGGGCUCAUGUAGAGGAAGACCAUCGUCCUCUACAAUACCCAUGACGUCAUCAUCGCCGUCGAAAUGUUUGAAGAGUUUCGUUUACAGUCUACAACACUUUUGCUGCCCGUAAAGUCGUUUUUUUCCCGCCUCACAUAUUUCGGGAGAUUGGCAGCGCCCGCUUCUUCUCCACCAACUGCCGUGGAUUGUGGUCCAAAGAACAAAAGCAUUGGACGGACCGACUGAUACGCCCGUUUCUCGGCCGCCGGACGGUACCGUUCGACGUACGUUGCGAAGUGCUUCGACUAUUGAAGGAAGAGAGAGAACAUGAACCAUCAGUAUCACUCUGACUCACGAAGAUUAUUACGAAUGGCUACUGACGGGAGAUCUACCCCUGGUCCUAACCUUCAAGCCUCCUCCGAAGACCUUCAUUUGCCGGAUCGGCGAUUAGCUGACCACCUGUCGUUGCGGUGGACUCUGGUCGAGAAACCCCAGCUAUUGGUGAGAGUCGAGCUUUCGUCCGUAUUUGGGCUGUCUUCCCGGCUACCAAACCAAAGCUGGAGCCUAGUUCAUGUGUAACCUCUCACGAUAAAUAAAAAAAAAAGGUUGUGUAUACUCUCAUUCCGUCUCGGUCAUGACGCCCGAGCAGAGGUUUGCAACCGUUGUGCAAACGCGAAUGUGUCUGGACUUGCUGCGAUUACGCGAUUAUAUUCACGGCGAUAACUGCGAGGGUGACUUUCGGUCGAUUCUCAAGACGAUACCCUUAC